AUUGAACGCUGGCGGCAGGCCUAACACAUGCAAGUCGAGCGGAUGACGGGAGCUUGCUCCUUGAUUCAGCGGCGGACGGGUGAGUAAUGCCUAGGAAUCUGCCUGGUAGUGGGGGACAACGCGUCGAAAGGAACGCUAAUACCGCAUACGUCCUACGGGAGAAAGCAGGGGACCUUCGGGCCUUGCGCUAUCAGAUGAGCCUAGGUCGGAUUAGCUAGUAGGUGAGGUAAUGGCUCACCUAGGCGACGAUCCGUAACUGGCCUGAGAGGAUGGUCAGUCACACUGGAACUGAGACACGGUCCAGACUCCUACGGGAGGCAGCAGUGGGGAAUAUUGGACAAUGGGCGAAAGCCUGAUCCAGCCAUGCCGCGUGUGUGAAGAAGGUCUUCGGAUUGUAAAGCACUUUAAGUUGGGAGGAAGGGCAGUAAGUUAAUACCUUGCUGUUUUGACGUUACCGACAGAAUAAGCACCGGCUAACUCUGUGCCAGCCGCCGCAGUAAAAC
rnacentral:rRNA from 1 species